rnacentral:rRNA from 2 species
UAAAUGGCCGCAGUAAUCUGACUGUGCAAAGGUAGCGUAAUCAUUUGUUUAAUAAUUUUAAACUAGAAUGAAAGGAACAAAGUAUACUAACUGUUAAUUAAAAUUUAACAUAAAUCUUUGGCUGAGUGCAAAAACUUAGAAUAAAAAUAUAAACGAGAAGACCCUGGGAAUUUUAAUAUUUUUAUUGGGAUAAUAUAAAACCAUACUUAUACUUAGCUAAGCAACAAAUAACAUUAAUAAAAAGAAAUUACCCCAGGGAUAACAGCACAAUAGUCAUUAAGAGACCUAAUCUCAGUGAUUGAUUAUGACCUCGAUGUUGAAUCAUUUGUACAUAUAGUUUGCAGAAGAAUUUUAUUCUCGUCUGUUCGACGAUAGACAUUACGUGA